rnacentral:rRNA from 1 species
UACGGGGGGGGCAAGCGUUGUUCGGAAUUACUGGGCGUAAAGGGUUCGUAGGUGGCCAAUUAAGUCAGACGUGAAAUCCCUCAGCUUAACUGGGGAACUGCAUCGGAAACUAGCGAGCUUGAGUCCGGGAGAGGGUAGUGGAAUUCCUGGUGUAGAGGUGAAAUUCGUAGAUAUCAGGAGGAACACCGGUGGCGAAGGCGGCUACCUGGACCGGUACUGACGCUGAGACACGAAAGCGUGGGGAGCAAACAGG